rnacentral:rRNA from 1 species
CCUACGGGGGGCAGCAGUGGGGAAUAUUGCACAAUGGAGGAAACUCUGAUGCAGCGACGCCGCGUGAACGAUGAAGGCUUUCGAGUCGUAAAGUUCUGUCCUAGGGGACGAUAAUGACGGUACCCUAGGAGGAAGCCCCGGCUAAUUACGUGCCAGCAGCCGCGGUAAUACGUAAGGGGCGAGCGUUGUCCGGAAUUAUUGGGCGUAAAGGGUUCGCAGGCGGCCUUUUAAGUCAGAUGUGAAAUCUCACGGCUCAACCGUGGUAAGCAUUUGAAACUGGAAGGCUUGAGUUAAGGAGAGGAAAGUGGAAUUCCUAGUGUAGCGGUGAAAUGCGUAGAUAUUAGGAAGAAUACCAGUGGCGAAGGCGACUUUCUGGACUUAUACUGACGCUGAGGAACGAAAGCAUGGGGAGCAAACAGGAUUAGAUACCCCCGUAGUC